AGCAGUUUAUUUUCGUCUUUUUGGUGUUUAGACAUACCAAAAGUGAUGCUCUUCAAUUUAAAAACCGAUAAAGGUUGUAACCAGCUGGUAAUGUUUUGACAGAAAAAUGAACUUCUGUUGUAUAUUUUUAUACAUAAUUGAACAUUUUGAUAAGAUUUAAGAAAAGUACAUAACUUUGUGGUGUUUGGAAACUUAUUUCCCUCACCAGAAGAUUGUUGCAUACAUGUACGGGUGAUCACUUCCAGACAGAGGCAGUUACAAUAUAUGUACGGGAAUGAGGAUUAUUUAUAAGACUGAAAUUAUUGUAUUAUUUGCUGGAAAUGUGGAAUAUGAGGAAUUUAAAGCCAUCCGUGAGUAGUUUUUGAUGAUUCAGCUGGACAAAUGCUGGAAAUUAUUCAGUUUUCUCCCACCUUAAAACAGUACAUGGUAUAUCAUGGACACCAAAAGCAAACUAUAAAGAUCUAAAUGCCAUAAUUUUGUGCAUCUUGAAAACUGGAAAGGCGGAUCACUUUGAAGCAGAUGAUAGUGAUAGUGUUUAAAAGAAUUCUUUGUGACAUUUAUACCAGUUGGAACAGAUAAAAGAUACAUCAGAUGACAGACUUACAUAUAGAGGAGCCUAUAAUUAGAGAAAUGGAUCAACUUGAUUUUGAAGUUAACCUACUGCAUACCAAUAUCUCUUUAAGUACAUGUUUAUCUUUAUUUUGAUAAAGUACCAUAUGAGAUAAAGUAUGUGAAAUCUUAAAUCCUGUAAAUAUACUAGACAUUAUAUCAGUACAUAAGGUGACUGAGCUUAAAGAAAAUCACACAUGAAACUGUAACCAGUUUGGGAGACUCAUACAACAGAACAUUUCAAUACCUAUUAAGUUUUUUAUGUAUAUGUUUGACUUUUGGUAAUAUUUUGGAAGUUACUUUAGUAAUUGAGAGACCUCAAUAUUGAAAAUGACAAUUUUGGUAGAGGACAAUUUUAAGAAUAUCAAUUUAGUUGUUUAUGGAUCUUUAUCUUUUAAAAUAUUACU